rnacentral:rRNA from 1 species
GACGAACGCUGGCGGCGUGCUUAACACAUGCCAGUCGAACGGAAAGGCCCUGCUUGCAGGGUACUCGAGUGGCGAACGGGUGAGUAACACGUGGGUGAUCUGCCCUGCACUUCGGGAUAAGCCUGGGAAACUGGGUCUAAUACCGGAUAGGAGCCAUUUUUAGUGUGAUGGUUGGAAAGUUUUUUCGGUGUAGGAUGAGCUCGCGGCCUAUCAGCUUGUUGGUGGGGUAAUGGCCUACCAAGGCGGCGACGGGUAGCCGGCCUGAGAGGGUGGACGGCCACAGUGGGACUGAGAGACGGCCCAGACUCCUACGGGAGGCAGCAGUGGGGAAUAUUGCACAAUGGGCGCAAGCCUGAUGCAGCGACGCCGCGUGGGGGAUGACGGCCUUCGGGUUGUAAACUCCGUUCGCUAGGGACGAAGCUUUUUGUGACGGUACCUAGAUAAGAAGCACCGGCUAACUACGUG